rnacentral:rRNA from 1 species
UACGGAAGGCAGCAGUGGGGAAUAUUGCACAAUGGGCGAAAGCCUGAUGCAGCUAUGCCGCGUGUAUGAAGAAGGCCUUUAGGGUUGUAAAGUACUUUCAUCGGGGAGGAAAAACAAAACUAAUAAUUUUAUUUCUUGACGUUACCCGAAAAAGAAGCACCGGCUAACUCCGUGCCAGCAGCCGCGGUAAUACGGAGGGUGCUAGCGUUAAUCAGAAUUACUGGGCGUAAAGAGCACGUAGGUGGUUUUUUUAAGUCAGAUGUGAAAUCCCUGGGCUUAACCUAGGAACUGCAUUUUGAAACUGAAAUACUAGAGUAUCGUAGAGGGAGGUAGAAUUCUAGGUGUAGCGGUGAAAUGCGUAGAUAUCUGGAGGAAUACCUGUGGCGAAAGCGGCCUCCUAAACGAAUACUGACACUGAGGGUGCGAAAGCGUGGGGAGCAAACAGGGAUUAGAUACC